rnacentral:lncRNA from 1 species
CGGGACUUUCGAGAUCUUGCGAUACAGUCCGAGCAGUAAACGCGGAAGUUAGAUCCAAACGCCCGUUGUGUGGGAGAAGCAUCGGCAUGAACUGUUUAAUCUGCCCAUCAUUUGUGUUGAGAGAUCAGCAGUGUUUGGAUCAACAAAGUGUGACUACUUUGAUAGUAGAAACUGUAUUUAUGGCUUACUUUUGUGCAUUUAAACUUCAUCCGCCAUUGAUAGUUGUUAAAAGUUGUUAAACCUGUGCAUAUGAAACAAAAAACGCCUUUUGUUUAUCGAUUUAUUGUGAAAAACGGAAGUUGUGCUUGCUCCUUUUCCUGUUGGGCCGUUGUGAUUUCUGUCCAUUGACUGCGGAGGUGCUCCGGCGUCCGGCGAAAAUAGGAUCGAUUCUAUUUUUGCCGGACGCCGGAACAGAGGGCGGCGCACGGCGCCGCACUGCCGGAGCACGGCCGCAGUAGUGGAAUUGCUCUGAUUGACUACAACGGGACCGAUUUUGCUCCGGCGUUCGUGUCGGAGCGGAGCGGAGAUAGUGGAAUUUGGGGGGAAGGCAAGGAAACGCCAUCAGAGAAGCCAUCUGCCCCGGCAGCAUCAGGUCUUCAACACUAAGUCAGGGCGCUCAGAGGAGGGGGAGCAUAGACCCCCCACCUCCACUUAAACACUACCUAUAGAGCGCCCAGGAAGCAACAGUCGACCACCACCCCCGGGGCAGAGGGCCCCUACGGAGAGAACGCUGGAUUAAAAUGAGUAAAAAAUAUGAAAAUAAAAGAGCUAAUAUAAAUGACAAGAGUAAGAAAAUAAGUAAUAAAUAAAAUCAUACAGACAGUAAAAUAAUAAUAUUAAAUAAUGAAACAAUGCUAAAAUAUAAUCAUAUGAAACAUGCAAAACAAGCAAUAAUGUGGUCAGAUAUGAUGAAACUGGUUGAAACAUGCUCCAGGUGUACUGUAUCCACUUUCUUGUGUACUGUUUAUCUGCGAGCUGUGAGUUUCCUCGUCCCCCAAGAGGAGAUCCAAAUCAACUAUGAUCGGCAAGGAGAGCCAGGUGAGGGGUCACGGCGAGGAAGAGCUCUCACAUGCAAAAUUGACAUGAGGAGGUGAGGAGCUAGCGAAGAACGGGGAUGAGGGGGAUGAAUAAAACAAAGUCUGUCUCUGACUGCGGGUGUCUUCAAGAAUUCUAAGACUUCGUUGACUCCAGAGAACGGUUUCUGUUUGAGUGUGCACACACCAGUGUAUUUUACAAUACAUCAGAGAGUUUGUGUGUGUGUGUGUGUGUGUGUGUGUGUGUGUGUGUGUGUGUGUGUGUGUGUGUGUGUGUGUGUGUGUGUGCAUGAGUGUGAGACAAUGUCCUUACAGAGGGCAGUACAUGCUGCUCCUGUUGCCCCAGACACACAUCCAUGAUGAGCAGAUGAAAAAUGAAUUAAAGAACAACAGAAGAAAGGGAGAAAGGCAGACAAAAAAAGGAGGGAGCUGUGGCUCCAAAUAGUUGUCUCGCUUUGUGUGUGUGUGUGUGUGCAUGUGAAGGAUGUCUAUGUUAUGAUUUGCUUUUAAUGCAUACUCUAUGGAUCUUUAUAAUCUUUGUGUCUAUUGAAUAUACUUUGCUUUUGUUCUGACAUUGUCUGGAUUUUCUCACCAUGGAAAUAUAAAAAAAUCUACUGUUAAGCAAAAUGAAAGUUGUUUCCAAAGAAUAGUGUAGACUUGUGAAUAGCAUACAUGUCCUUAAAGUACACAAAAAUAAAGACUUUUAAGCCUUGGGCAGCUCAUGUAAAAGAAAACAAAAGUAUACCCUUGCUGAUUCACCAAAGAAGUUGAAACACAAACUUUUUUUAUAUAUGUUUUUAUGUUUUUUGUUAGUAAAAGUUAUUGACAAAUCAGAGGUUUAAGGAAAAAAUGUUCAAUGUUAAAGUUAUACAUUUAAGAGAUGUGCAAAUAUAAACGAUAAAAUAGCAUGAGAGGAGGACGGCCGUGAUAUGAAACUUCUGCUUCCUGAUUAUUACGCAAAUUGUAUUUUCACCAGCAUUAUUGCCCAUUUUUUUAUGUGCUGAAAACGUGCCAAAAGCUUUGAGCCUCAGCGUCCCCUUAUUGGGGAACAAGCAAGUGCACCAGCAAACCUACGGCCCGUAACUCAGAUCUAUCAGUGUAGUGUGUUUGUUUCAAACUCUUAUUGUGAAGGGCUCAGAGGAAGUUGUGGCUCAUUAAACCAUGUUGUCUACUUUUAGUGCAACAUUGCUUUACCAGCAAAUUUUUAUAUAUAUAUAUA